rnacentral:lncRNA from 1 species
CAAGCUUUUACCAUCUUCACAAAUUUUCUCAAAGAGAUAGCUCUUUCCUACAAUAUUCCACACAUUUAAUUGAAACAAUAAUAUUUCUCUGAAAAUAAGCCCUGCAUAAACAGUGGCUGCAGAUACAGGCACACAAAGGUGAAGCCCCCAUGCAGUCCGAUGCCAGCUGUGACUUCCCUCAAUUUACCCAAAUUAAAUGUAAGCAAGUUAACAUUCCUUGUCCCUGGACUGUCAUCAGCUUCCAAUCAGUAAUUCAUCUUCCCCCUCUGUUCCUGCGGCUGAGAGCACAAAGCCUUUUGUGUAAAAAAAGAACAUUGACUCUGAUUUCAUGAGCUCUACCGAUGGCUUCUUACCAGCUCUGUGAGCUAGCCAGGGUAUGUCUGCCAUACUGAAGUCUCUUCUAAUAUAUAUAUAUUUUUCUACAUACAUCAUAGAGAAGAGCCUUAAAAAAUCUUAUUCUGAGCCCCACCUUGAUCCAGCAGCCAGCACAGCUUGUAAUCCUGAUGCUGAGCUUUCCGUACCUCUGAAAAAAUCAUUAUAAUUAUAUGUAAUGCACAUAAUUAUUUAUAUCAGAACUAUAUAUAAUUAACUAAGUAUAUCUCUAAUGCUGAAUGCCACCACGCCACUUCCCUUUGCUCACUGUCACCAUCCUGGGAAGGGGAUUUGUGUCCUGCUUGUGUCAGUCAGCUCAGCAGGAUUCAGGAGGGUGAUCAGAUCCAAAUUAACAGCUGGACCUGAUGAUCUUAGAGGAUUGAGAGGAUUUAAGAGCUCACUUGGACACGGUGACUGUAAACUCCCUUGCAGGAGGUAUCAUUGCCAGAUGCUGGUGUGCAAUGGGGAAAAGAGCAGCAAUCACGGAAAUCAAGCUUGGAAGAUGCACCACCUGGCCAAGCACAUGGAGGUAACCAAAUUGGAGAAUUCUUCUCCUUCCACUCCAGCCUGCUGGCAGAGAACGAACCCACGUCUGCAGAGGUCCUCUCCUUCUCCAGAAUGAACCCACUAGCAACAGAAAGGGAUCACCUUUUGGGUACAAGGAUCCAGUGCAAACACACCCUUUCCUAAAAUCUCAAAACUCAGAGAGGUGAGACAACAAAAACCCCAAACACCUUCCGCCUGGAUCCCUCUGUAGCAUCCUCAGUUGGCAUAAAUGGGUGCUUGCAGGAGGUAUCCUCCCACUCCCCACCUCCAUGGAUUUUUUGCAGCCCCCUCCUUUUCAGGGCUAGGAAAUCAGCACGCACAGGGCUAAUUAGAAAGCAGAGCUGUUAUUAUGCAGCGUGCUCAGCACGGCGAGCCGUGCUGAUGGAGAUGGAUGGGUGCCGGUGGCUGGGAGGAGAGCCGAGAGCCCUUUGUCAGGAGCAGAUGGCAAGGGGAGGGGAGGACGGGGGAGAGGGGUCUCUCGGGGGAGUAAAUCCAGCUCAGGAGAAUGUUCAUUUUACUCGCUAUCCCUCUGUGCAAUCGGCCUCUCGCCCCUUAAUGACGUGCUUUUGAAAGAGAAGAGUCAAUCAGUCGAGGCGUAAUAGAGGGAUGACUGAUGGAAAAAGCUAAUGCGGGAGCAUUUGUAGCAUCCCGG